AAUCUGAUCAAGAGCUCUAAGUUGGAACCUUUGUUUCAUACCUGAGCCAUUUUGAUCUAGAUUAGCAUUCGGGGACCCUCCGUGCCGUUUGAUAUCCCGUGAUCUUUAGCAUUAUCUGGUUAUUAUACAAGAACUCCAAAGCAAUCUCAGUUGAAAAUGACUCCGAGAUGAUGCAUAGGACUUAUCAAGACAUACUUAGGCGGACCUGUGACUUAGUGACUUAAAACGAGACAAGAACUAGUUAAAUUGUGUUAUGUAUUCUUUGGUUCUUAUUUAAAGCAAUGUAAACUUUCAUGUUUGAUUAAUAAAACGAAACU
rnacentral:lncRNA from 1 species